rnacentral:rRNA from 1 species
CACGUAGGGCGCAAGCGUUGUCCGGAAUUUAUUGGGCGUAAAGAGCUCGUAGGCGGUCUGUUGCGUCCGCUGUGAAAACCCGGGGCUUAACCCCUGGCUUGCAGUGGAUACGGACAGACUAGAGGUAGGUAGGGGAGAAUGGAAUUCCCGGUGUAGCGGUGAAAUGCGCAGAUAUCAGGAGGAACACCGGUGGCGAAGGCGGGUCUCUGGGCCGAUACUGACGCUGAGGAGCGAAAGCGUGGGGAGCGAACAGG